UACGGGGGGGGCAAGCGUUGUUCGGAAUUACUGGGCGUAAAGGGCCAGUAGGCGGCCAACUAAGUCGGACGUGAAAUCCCCAGGCUCAACCUGGGAACUGCGUCCGAUACUGGAUGGCUUGAAUUCGGGAGAGGGAUGCAGAAUUCCAGGUGUAGCGGUGAAAUGCGUAGAUAUCUGGAGGAAUACCGGUGGCGAAGGCGGCAUCCUGGACCGACAUUGACGCUGAACGGCGAAAGCUAGGGGAGCGAAA
rnacentral:rRNA from 1 species